rnacentral:rRNA from 1 species
GAUGAACGCUGGCGGCGUGCCUAAUACAUGCCAGUCGAGCGAACGGACGAGAAGCUUGCUUCUCUGAUGUUAGCGGCGGACGGGUGAGUAACACGUGGAUAACCUACCUAUAAGACUGGGAUAACUUCGGGAAACCGGAGCUAAUACCGGAUAAUAUUUUGAUCCGCAUGGUUCAAAAGUGAAAGACGGUCUUGCUGUCACUUAUAGAUGGAUCCGCGCUGCAUUAGCUAGUUGGUAAGGUAACGGCUUACCAAGGCAACGAUGCAUAGCCGACCUGAGAGGGUGAUCGGCCACACUGGAACUGAGACACGGUCCAGACUCCUACGGGAGGCAGCAGUAGGGAAUCUUCCGCAAUGGGCGAAAGCCUGACGGAGCAACGCCGCGUGAGUGAUGAAGGUCUUCGGAUCGUAAAACUCUGUUAUUAGGGAAGAACAUAUGUGUAAGUAACUGUGCACAUCUUGACGGUACCUAAUCAGAAAGCCACGGCUAACUACGUG